AUUCUGUCAGCAGUGUGGAAGAUGGACUGGAGGCUGGGGAAGAAUCAGAACAGGGCAGGAGCUGAAUUGGGCUUUCCAAUGAUGACCAGAGUGACUUGGGAAGCAACCUAUUAAAGAUGGCGGAAACUCAGGACAAUGUCCCCUCAUGUUAUUACUGGAGAGUAUUCCAUAUAUACUACAAUUAUUCA